GCCUCACCUAUGGCAUAUGGAAGUUCCUGGGCUAGGGGUCAAAUCAGAGCUGCAGCUGCAGACAAAAGCCACAGCCACAGCAAUGCCAGUUCCAAGGCACCUCUGCAACCUAUGCCGCAGCUGUCAGCAAUGCUGGACUCUUAACCCACGGAGUGAGUCCAGAGACUGAACCCGCAUCCUCAUGGACACCAUGUCGUAUUCUUAACCACUUGAGCCACAACAGGAACUCCUUGUUUAUCAUCUAUUUUAUAUAAUAGUGUGUAUGUGUUAUUCCCACCCUCCCAAUUCUUUGAUCCCCCACAAUGGUUUCACCUAUGGUAACCAUAAGAUCAGUUUUGGUAUCUGUGAGUUUGUUCCUGCUUUAUAUAUAUAUGUAUGUAUGUAUGUAUAUAUACACACACACAGCAGGAUCUCACUGCUAAUCGAUUCCAAAAGCAAUAGUUUGCAUCCAUUAAUCCCAAGCUCCUGAUCCAUCCCACUCCCUCCCCCUCCCCCCAGGCAACCACAAAUCUAUUCUCCAAGUGCAUGAUUUUCUUUUCUGUGGAAAGGUUCAUUUGUGCUGUAUAUUAGAUUCCAGAUAUCAGUGAUAUCAUAUGGUAUUUGUCUUUCUCUUUCUGACUGACUUCACUCAGUAUGAGAGUCUCUAGUUCCAUCCAUGUUGCUGCAAAUGGCAUUAUUUUGUUUCUGCUUUUUAAAUAAGUUCUUUUGUAUCAUUUUUAAUAGGUUCCACAUACAACUGAUAUCAUAUGAUAUUUGUCUUUCUCUGUCUGAUUUUAUCUAACCUCCUCUUAAGGGAAAGAUAUUAUACUACUGCUUGAGUAGUGGGAAGAAAGAUAAUGGUAAAAGGAAAUGUAAGCAAAGGGAAUUUCAAUUCAUAUUUCAAAUAUUAUUCACUACACUAAUAUAUGUUUCUGAGUGAUGUGAAAUAAGAAAUCCUAAAAAUUAUAAAAUAUUCCCCAGUAUUAUCUACAUACUCUCAAAUGUUUGGUUUGAAUUGUUUUAAGCAGAAAUGGAGGGAAAAGCUGAGUUGUAUGUCUAAGAUGACAAAUCACUCAAGAGAAGCAACAGGACCCUGGAGCCUGUGUUGACUUUCCUUCUCAUGUAAAAAGCUGCAGCGAUGUGGACUGUCAUGGGAUCUGGACUGUGGAUUCAAGCUAAUUUUAUCUCAGAGUGUGAGCAUAUCCCAGGUGACAUCUGAGUGAAAGAAGAAACGGUCAGUAAAUGUUAGCUAAUUAUAGUAGGAGUGGAAGUAGAAAUUGUGAUGUAGGAAUGUUCUUGAAGAAGCAGAUACCCCUGUGCCAACUGGGUGGGUUAAGAACAAGAUGCUACAAGGUCAGCACAGAAGGUGUCGCCUUAGCAACACUUGUUUAGAGUCCUUGGUGAAGGCACUGAGACUGAUACCCUAAUCCACCUUGUAUCUCCUAUAAAUUACCUACGGCAUAAAAUAGUGCUCCAGGGGCUGCAAAAUGUCUUGAUUUCUGACUUUGCAGCAGGUGGUGUCUCUGAGCAUGUUUGAGUUGCUGUGAUUGAAUACUUUGGGUCACCUGAAAGAGGAUACAUACAUUAAUCAGGAGUAGAUAUAGAAGAUGGAGUUCCCACUGUGACCCGGUUAAGAACCUGACUAGUAUCCAUAGGGAUGUGGGUUUGAUCCCUGGCCUCGCUCAGUGCGUUAAGGAUCCGGCAUUGCCGUGAGCUGUGGUGUAGCAGACGCGGCUUAGAUCUGGUGUUGCUAUGGCUGUAGCAUAGGUCUGAUUCCACCCCUAGCCUGAGAACUUCCAUAUGCCACAGGUGUGGCUCUAAAAAGAAAAAUUAAAAAAAAAAAGAAUAGAUAUAGAAGAUAUUAUAGGGUAUAUAUAAUCAUACAUAUAAUAAUCCUAUAUAUAUGUUAUUAUCUUAUAUCCUAUGAUCUCAUUAGGCUAUCCUAUCAUCCUAUAUGUAUUCCAUGUCUAUCUUCUCUCUGUAUUUAGAUCUAAAUCUGAAUUGAUUUAUUUUGAGGAGUUGGCUCAUGUGUCUAUGGGGGUUAGAAGUCCUGCAUCUGCAGGGCAGGCUAGUAGGCUAUAAAUUCCAGCAGGAGUUAUUGUAGUCUUGAGUCCAAAGACAGCCCGGAGGCAGAAUUCCUUUCUCUUCAGGGACCUCAGUUUUGCCUCUUAUGUCUUUCAAUGGCCCACCCACAUUACAGAGGAUAAUCUGCUUUUCUCAAAGUCUCCUCAGAGAUUUAAAUGUUAGUCACAUCUCCAAAAGUAGUUCACAGCAACUUCUAAACUGGUGUUUGACCCAGCACAUGGGCACCUUAGCCUGGUCAAGCUAACUCAUAAGCUUAACCAUCAAAAUGAAGGGGUUUUUCUUUUAUUUCUUCUGAGGCAAGGGUAGUGGAAAGCAUGACUGACUAUUGUUUGCUCCCUGUCUGGUUCAUGAGACAGGUUUGAGCACCAAUGUAAAGAUAAGUGAACCUAAAACUAAAGGCGCUUCAUGAGAAGAUGGGACUCUGGGCUCAGGCAGAGUUGCUCUGCAAUCCAGAAAAAAUGUGACCAGAGCUGGGGGAGAGGCUUCUCCCCACCUCUGUGGAAACCUAGCAUGGCUCUGCCCUGCAGAAUGACCAGCUUGGAAGUGCCAGGAGACGACCCCCUUGGCAGGGAUGUAAACCUUCUUGCCAGUCUCCAUGGCACUGAUGAUGAGGAGGUACCCUUCAGGUGGGUUUUCAUGAGACAGGGGCUGGGGUGGAGCCUGAGGAGAACAGGUGUUCCUGGCUGUACCCAGUGCACCUCUAGGAAUGUUUAGACAUGCCUGAGGGGAAUAUUCCUAGAGAUAGGAAUUGCUGUCUGGGCAAGUGGAGACAAUAAGCCAGUAGAAGUCACAUCUACAUGUGAGAAAGAAUCAGACUUCUGGUUUAGACUCUUAUUACUUUACAGAUUAAUAAUUCAAUUAAUCUCCAUACAAUUUUUGUGAAUUUCUUAAGAAUUCUUACAAGUAGUAUUUUCUAUAUCUAUCUACAAACUGUUUGAACUCUACCUAAUUAUUAAAGUCAAGAAUCCAGGACUCAGAGUGAGCAUAAACAUCUCUGUUCAAGGUCUACCCUAUGGAUGUGUAGAUGAGUGUGUUAAUUUGGCACAAUAUCUGGUCUUCAGUCAAACUGAUGGAGCUAUUUGAAGGUCAGCUGAUGUAAUUAACUUGAGGCAAUAAGCUAUCUGGUUUGGUGAGUAGGAGUGUAAGAUAUGGAGUAAAAGAACCAUGAAUUCAAAUUCUGAUAUCACCUUCACACCUCUGUGACCUGGAUUAGUUAUUUAACAUUGAAGUCUUUCUUUCUUCCUCUCCUUAUGGAUCUGUUAUGAGCUCUGGCAUAGAGUGAGCACUCAACAUCUGCUAGUUGUUAAUGUUACUCUCAUCCACCUCAUCUGUGUUUCUUCGCCAAGAUGGGCGUUUGGAACCAGGGGGCAUUUGUAAAUCCUGUUGGGAAGGGGCACUGGUUUUGGAUGUCACAAUGACUGGAGCGUUCCCCUGGCAUUUAGUGCCUAGAAGUCAAGGAUAGUAAAUGCUCUGUGGGUCAGUCCCUCACUAUGAAUUAAUCGUCCCACCCCAAAUACCACUAGUGCCCAGUAAUGAGGAAUUCUGUGUUUUCCUUUCUGCCUAUUUUGAGUUAGAAGAGAGAAAUGAAGUGGAAGAGGGGUUUGUGAGGGCUCACACGUGACAGGCACUCUUCUGAUUGCCUUGAAUUCAAUACUCCUUGAUUCCUCACAACAACGCAGUUAUUAAUUCCCAUUUUACCAUGAGGAAACUGAGGCCUGAGUGGUUAAGCACUUCCCAGGCUUAUUCCCCUGGUAAUUGGGAGAGCCUGAAUUCAAGCCCAGGCAGUCUGACUCUAGAAUCCCAUGCUCUUAAGAACCCCGUUAUCAUGCCUCUCAAUAACGUAAAAUAAAGCAAAAUGAAAUUAAGCAAAAAUAAUUAAAGAACACAAAAACACUACUGGUGAGUAUAAUUGGUUUUAGAGCUUCCUAUGAUUAGUGAAAAUUCUGGUUUUAUGUUUUUUGGGUUUUUUUUAAGCUCAAAAAGACUAAAAUAGGAGUUUCCAUUGUGGCUUAGUAGUUACAAACCCAGCUAUUAUCUAUGAGGAUGUGGGUUUUAUCCCUGGCCCUGCUCAGUGGGUUAAGGAUCUGGUGUUGUCAUGAGCUGUGGUGUAGGUUGCAGAUGCAACUCGGAUCCCACAUUGCUGUGGUGUGGUGUAGGCCGGCAGCUGUAACUCAGAUUUAACCCCUAGCCUGAGAACUUCUAUACACCAUGGAUGCAGUCCCAAAAAGAAAAAAAACAAAAACAAAAACAUUAAAAUAAAGUGAUUUUCUUGGAUAAUGCUUUCAAUUAUGUUACAGGAAAAACAAUUUGAGGCAAAUAUUAAUAAUAUCAGUGACACCAUACACAUUUCUCUACAACUGGUAAGUGAGCCCUCUUGGUGCAAAAAACAUUCUCUGUGUGUGUGUGUAUUUUUCAUCUUCUAUUUAUAGAGAUAAACUUAUAUUGAGGUAUUAUUCGCUCUCCAUAGUAUUCUAAUGAAAAACUUGAUAUUAAUUUUUUCAGAAAACAAAACUAUACUUUGUUGCUUAAAGGAUGAGGUGAAAGAGUAAAGAUAAUACUUUGACUUACAAAUAAUUUAUGUGACUUUAACCAACCUAUCCUUCUGCAUAUUCCAUAAAAAUGACCCCAAAUUGCAGACUUUAAACUUUCACUUAGCAAGUGAUGAACACAUAUUUCUAGGUGUCUGAUGGUGACUCUGCCGGCCAGUCAACAUAUUAUUUUAAACUAUGUUGCUUUCUUGGUUUGUCCAGAGUGUUUGUAUAAUCACUUGAGUAUUUAAUGCAUUUUUCCAUUAUUUGAAAUAAUGAGUAAUGGAAAAUUGAUAUGACAAUUGGAGCAGAUGUAAAUAAUGAUGAUGAUCAUCAGUUAU
rnacentral:lncRNA from 1 species